rnacentral:rRNA from 1 species
CUGCUGCCUUCCGUAGGAGUUUGGGCCGUGUCUCAGUCCCAAUGUGGCCGUCCACCCUCUCAGGCCGGCUACUGAUCGUCGCCUUGGUGGGCCGUUACCCCGCCGUCAAGCUAAUGCGCCGCAUGCCCAGCCGCCACCGGAUUCCUCCUUUCGCCCGGACCGGAUGCCCGGUCCGGGCGGCAUGGGGUAUUAGGCCGGGUUUCCCCGGGUUAUCCCCCUGUGGCGGGCAGGUUCCAUACGUGUUACUCACCCGUGUGCCGGUCGCCGGCAGGUGCAGG